rnacentral:lncRNA from 1 species
UGACGACGGCUUUGGCAUUUGCGGUCAAGGUUCCCAAUGGAGAACUCGCAGGGACAAUGCAACUUUCUCUUCGAGAGAGAGCAACUAGGCAACACUGCAACUUUAAAGCGAAAAGAACUCAACGAUCGAUAUUGGAAAUAUAGCCGAAAGACUCGGAAAAUCUCCUCCCUCUCUGGCGGCUAGGGUUAAAAAUUCUCUCCUUAAAGUUUUUGUAUUUGUAUGCGGCAGUGUGAACACAAUCAGAAAUUUCUAAGGGUGAGUUUGGUAUGUAUAUUUGUAUUUGGAUUUUGCAUUUGGUAUUUGGAUAAGACUUGAGUUUUGCAUUUGAUUUCAAAUAAAAUACAAGGUUGCAUUUUACUCAAUUCCUUUGUAGUUUCAAAUGUAAAAUAAAUUGGGAUAAAACCUUCCAAAUAUGACGAACUAUUUUGCG